rnacentral:ncRNA from 1 species
UUAAAAACGAAGAUAGGGAAGAGUACAUCUUGAGCCCAUCAGAGAGGGAAACCAUCGAAAUAUCGAUGCUGAAAGGUUUCCUUGGAGGUAGAGGUGGAAGGUCGCCCUUGAGUUGUUAUCGUGAACACAUUGUCAUUAGCGAUAGCCGGUUCAGCACCGUUAAAGCCGUGAGUGUACAAUCUAUAGACGGGGUUUUAAUUAAUGCCCACUAUUUUGAUUGUAAACAAAGGUGGUACCGCGAGGAAUAUAACUCCCUUCGUCCUUUGA